rnacentral:rRNA from 1 species
GGUUGAUCCUGCCAGUAGUCAUAUGCUUGUCUCAAAGAUUAAGCCAUGCAUGUCUAAGUACAUGCCGUAUUAAGGCGAAACCGCGAAUGGCUCAUUAAAUCAGUUACGGUUCCUUAGAUGUUGACUAUCUACAUGGAUAACUGUGGUAAUUCUAGAGCUAAUACAUGCACAAAAGCUUCGACCUUAGCGGAAGAAGCGCAUUUAUUAGACCAAGACCAAUGGGGUUCUUUACGGAACUCCUUUAUGUGGUGACUCUGGAUAACUAUUGCUAAUCGCAUGGCCUAUGUGCCGG